rnacentral:rRNA from 8 species
AUUUGAUCUGAAAUCAGGCGGGAUUACCCGCUGAACUUAA